rnacentral:rRNA from 1 species
AACGCGUGAGCAACCUGUCCCAGACAGGGGGAUAACACUUGGAAACAGGUGCUAAUACCGCAUAAGACCCACGGGGUCACAUGGGCUCUGGGGUAAAAAGGAGCAAUCCCGGUUUGGGGUGGGCUCGCGUCCGAUUAGAUAGUUGGUGAGGUAACGGCCCACCAAGUCGACGAUCGGUAGCCGACCUGAGAGGGUGAUCGGCCACAUUGGAACUGAGAGACGGUCCAAACUCCUACGGGAGGCAGCAGUGGGGAAUAUUGGGCAAUGGGGCCGAAAGCCUGACCCAGCAACGCCGCGUGAGUGAAGAAGGCCUUCGGGUUGUAAAGCUCUGUUAUAGGGGACGAAGGAAGUGACGGUACCCUAUAAGGAAGCCCCGGCUAACUACGUGCCAGCCGCGGC